CUUGGUUUAUGUGCCUGGCUGGAGGAGACACCCAUGGCCUUGCAGAGGGAGCGAUCUGGUGGGAAAGCAGACAAAACCCACCCCAGGCCCGUGGUUUCCCUGCAACAAGCCCAGUGGCUUUCUGGAGGACACUUUUCCUGGAGGAAGUGAUUCAAGAGCAGCAUACGCCAGGCUCUAUGGAAUGUUGGGUGAGCUGCUUGAGGACCUCCAAGGCCUGUCCCACAGUCUUCCAGCCUCCGACUCUCCGGCCCUCAGUGUGGAAGUCCCACUGGUUUUGUUUUUUGUUUGUUUGGUUUUGUUUUUUUGUUUUUGUUUUUGUUUUUUUUCUCAUUCCUGUCUUGGGAGCUUUCCCCAACCAUGAUAGUGAAGAUGGGCGGAGCUGUCACACCAGCUGUUAGCCUGCCUUGGCUGAGAGGCUAGGAGAUGAGGAGGGAGCGACCACCCAGCUUCAGUCAUUUUAAAGUAGUUCCUGACCCUAGGAGAAGGGAAAUGGAGAUGAAGACUCAAUUGACUUGGUAUGAAGUUUAAAUGCCCCUUCGAGACUCGGGGGUUGAGGACGGCUUCCCUCCCUCCCAGUGCUGAUUUCCUGUGGACCAGAUUCCAGCACAGUGAAGGGCCAGAGCUCAGGGAACAGACCCAGCAGCACAGCAAGUCUCCAAGGGAAGCUCUAGCAGUCUCCAGGGGCUGAAGGCAGGACUGGGGAAAUGGCUAACCAGGCUGCAGAAGUCAAACGCUCCCAGUCGGCUGUCCAGCAGGCAUCUGCCUUCCUAGCCAAGUUUCCUGGGCUCCUGCCACAGAUCUAAGCCUCAUCCUGACAUCCUGCCCUCUGUGCUCUGGGAUGGCCCAGGGGAGAUGCUUAGCCUUGGCUUCUUGUCUGCUGGUGGAGGGGACACACACCCUUUCUGGACCACAGACCAAAAAGAAGACCUGACGUCAUCUUGAGCACCCACCCCUGCCAUGCAGAGUGUGUUUGCAGACUGCCAACGGGCUGGCUCCGGCCAGCAGAAGUGAACAGAGGUGGAGGUUCAGCCUGACAGCUUCUCUCCAAAGCCAUGGAGAGAGAACCUUACCACCCCCACCACCCAGCUACUUCCAGCAAGUUGUCCAGCCUGAUCCCUCUAUUUCCCCUGUUGUCUCUUAGCUGGCUCCCCGAGACCCACCCCAUCUCCAAUAAAGAACAUUGCAUACUGCG
rnacentral:lncRNA from 1 species